AUGCCUACGGGGCGCAGCAGUGAGGAAUAUUGGUCAAUGGGCUUACGCCUGAACCAGCCAAGUCGCGUGAGGGAAGACUGCCCUAUGGGUUGUAAACCUCUUUUGUCAGGGAGCAAUUGGCGCUACGUGUAGCGUUAUCGAGAGUACCUGAAGAAAAAGCAUCGGCUAACUCCGUGCCAGCAGCCGCGGUAAUACGGAGGAUGCGAGCGUUAUCCGGACUUAUUGGGUUUAAAGGGUGCGUAGGCGGAAUGCCAAGUCAGCGGUAAAAUUUCGGGGCUCAACCCCGUCGUGCCGUUGAAACUGGG
rnacentral:rRNA from 1 species